GGGAUGGACAGGCUACUACAAGUCACUAGAGUUUAGAUACAGUUAGUUAUCGUCACGUUGAGAUGGAACGCACCUGUCUUCUACUCUUGCUGUUGAGUACACUGGUAUACUGUAGCCUCGGACAAGGUGGAGAUCUCUCUCCUCCAGCCUCUCUGAGCAUCAGUA